UACAGAGGGUGCGAGCGUUAAUCGGAAUGACUGGGCGUAAAGGGCGCGUAGGUGGCUUGAUAAGUUAGCUGUGAAAUCCCUGGGCUUAACCUGGGAACUGCAGUUAAUACUAUUGAGCUAGAGUAAGGUAGAGGGAAGUGGAAUUUCCGGUGUAGCGGUGAAAUGCGUAGAUAUCGGAAGGAACACCAGUGGCGAAGGCGGCUUCCUGGACGACUAUUGACGCUGAGGCGCGAAAGCGUGGGGAGCAAACAGG
rnacentral:misc_RNA from 1 species